UAAUAAAGAAGUAAAAAAAAAGUAGAAGUUAUAUAGUACAAAACAAGUAAUGAACGGAAAUUGACUAGUCAAAAAUGCCAAAACCUAGUCCUAAUGCCUCCAGCCGCCACAGCCCUCCACAUUUCCUUCCUCCUUUUGUCAAUUCCACCAAACACAAAUCUUUAUUACUCCAUAUCAAAAGAUUAUAAGGGGUUCUUUGGUGUUAUGCAAUGGAGAUGGCUAAUUGAUUUUUUUAAUUACACAAUGGAAAGGCAAAAAUGUUGUAUAUAUUUUAAGGGAUGGUUCCUCUUGUAUUACAUCUACAUCAACAAGAUCUUCAUAGCUGCUUUUGAUAUGUGAUUCAGGAGAUGCUUUUGAUGGAAUUAAUCUUGCUCUUUUUUUAAGGCAAAUUUAUGAAAUUACUAGAGCAGCAAUGACAAACUGGAGCGGAUAUUGAUCAAAUUAAGAUGCAAUUAGAGGUUGUGUAGGAGGAGAGAAAUCAGAAGAUCGUACAGGUUCGAGUCUCAAGCAAGAUAAUGCUAUUGUAAUCGGUGGCAUAGAUGAAUUGUGUAUUGUGAAUGCUUGAAAUUUAGAUAUGUAACAACGUGUAACUUGAGACCUAUUUUGGAAUCCAAAUUUUUUGUUUCGUAUAGAAGAAUUAUUCUGAUUAACAAUGCUUUGUGGCAUACUCUUCAAUAUGUAGCGAUGAAAUUUUAGAAUUCAUAGCUAAUUGUAUAUAUAAUUGCCAAAAACAAGGUUACACAUUUCACU